rnacentral:rRNA from 1 species
GGGCUGCAGUGGGGAAUAUUGCACAAUGGGCGAAAGCCUGAUGCAGCCAUGCCGCGUGUGUGAAGAAGGCCUUAGGGUUGUAAAGCACUUUCAGUAGGGAGGAAAGGUUGCGUGUUAAUAGCACGUAGCUGUGACGUUACCUACAGAAGAAGGACCGGCUAACUCCGUGCCAGCAGCCGCGGUAAUACGGAGGGUCCGAGCGUUAAUCGGAAUUACUGGGCGUAAAGCGUACGUAGGUGGUUUGUUAAGUUGGAUGUGAAAGCCCAGGGCUCAACCUUGGAACUGCAUUCAAAACUGGCGAACUAGAGUAUGGUAGAGGUGAGUGGAAUUCCCUGUGUAGCGGUGAAAUGCGUAGAGAUGGGGAGGAACAUCAGUGGCGAAGGCGACUCACUGGACCAAUACUGACACUGAGGUACGAAAGCGUGGGUAGCAAACAGGAUUAGAUACCCCGGUAGUC